CCUACGGGUGACAGCAGUGAGGAAUAUUGGUCAAUGGGCGCUAGCCUGAACCAGCCAAGUAGCGUGAAGGAUGACUGCCCUAUGGGUUGUAAACUUCUUUUAUAUGGGAAUAAAGUGCAGCAUGUAUACUGCUUUGCAUGUACUUUAUGAAUAAGGAUCGGCUAACUCCGUGCCAGCAGCCGCGGUAAUACGGAGGAUCCGAGCGUUAUCCGGAUUUAUUGGGUUUAAAGGGAGCGUAGGUGGGUUGUUAAGUCAGUUGUGAAAGUUUGCGGCUCAACCGUAAAAUUGCAGUUGAUACUGGCAGCCUUGAGUACAGUAGAGGUAGGCGGAAUUCGUGGUGUAGCGGUGAAAUGCUUAGAUAUCACGAAGAACUCCGAUUGCGAAGGCAGCCUGCUAAACUGUGACUGACACUGAUGCUCGAAAGUGUGGGUAUCAAACAGGAUUAGAUACCCCUGUAGUC
rnacentral:rRNA from 1 species